rnacentral:lncRNA from 1 species
GGGUCGGAAUUCUGAGCCGACCAAACUGUCCUGAAGGAGCAACCUGAAAAACUGGCCGGAAAGACUGUCACGCGCCGGCGCGUGGGCUGACGCGCCGAAGGCUCUGACGGCGCGUGGCGGCGCGUGGGGCAGAUUUGGCCGGAGAAAUUUCUGGGGGUUUGUCGCCGGACAGAGGCGAGUCUUUUGGUAUUGCUGGAUUUUGCACAGCACUGACCGAGAU